UCUGUCAUCUUUAGUCCAACAACCAAGCUGUCCACCUGUUUCCUCAACAGGGGGCGCCACUGAUCCAACUGACCAGCCAACAGCUCCACCUGCUGCACAGAUGAGUCACUGUUGAUUUAUGAUGUCACUGAAACUGUGAUUAUGGGCUUUGUAGUUUAACGUGUCUCACCGUCGUGGUGUUUGUUAACUCAUCCAUCAAACUGACGCUGUCGUCCAACAACAGCUGACUGUUGUCCAACCGUCCGUCCACAGAAAGACACUCAGAGGUCAGGUCCUGAUGGACAGACUGAGAGAGAAAGACACUUAGACAGACAGACAGACAGACAGAGAGAGACAGGCAGGCGGGCAGGCAGGCAGUGUGUGCUCCUCCUCUGUUGUCUGGUUCAGAUGCCCCGCCUCCCUCUGCAGCACUGGACCAAUCAGAUGUCAAGGUCCUUGCAGCUGUACCUCUGUCAUCCUGAUCUCAUGCGGAGUCAUGACGCCAUUGCCAGGGGCAACCAUGUCAGUGUAUAUAACAAACUUCCUCAGAAUCCCGCCCCUCAUCAGAACCUGAGGCUCCUGAUUGGACAGUCCCAAACCAUCUUCAGCAUAGAAAGUGAUGAUGUAAGACAGCAGGCCUCCGUACGACAGCAGCUACACAAACACAUGACACACGUGGCAUCCGCACAAUAUAAUUAUAAUAUAUAAUAAAUAAUAUAAUACACAGACACAUUAUACAACAAACCUCUUAUAGAUAUAAUUCAUGGACAAAAGACUGCCUAUUUCUAAUCACUCCCUGUGAAUUAGUGUAGAGUGGAGGUUAAGGGUUAUGUUAGUCAACAGUUUGGGCUAUAGGCAGCAGUGUCCAUGUAAUCAGGCGCAGUAAGUCAACAUUUUGGGUGACAGUACCUGGCUGCCUUGGAACUGGGGUGGCAGUCUCCAGUAGAAUGGACCGGUCAGUCUGCUUAUGUUGAGCUGACGGGUGUCAAGGAGCACGUCACCAUCCUGCUGGUAAACUCCAGUUACUACACCCUGGAGGUUUGACUGAGUGACCAAUGACAAGAGAGCAGGCGAGCGAGCCAGGGUGAUCUGUUGGGCGAGAGAGACAGGUUGGUUAAUGUGUUGUACUAUACAGUA